GAUGUACUCCCUCCGUUCCGAAUUACUUGUCGCAGGUAUGGAUGUAUCUAGAUGUAUUUUAGUUCUAGAUACAUUCAUUUCUGCAACGAGUAAUUUGAAACGAAGGGAGUAUCUC
rnacentral:pre_miRNA from 1 species